CUUGUGUACUCAGUGCGGUGUCCCAGUUAGCAUCUCAAGGAACUCAGAAUGGCAGAUGGUAGACCGCUGGCAGUGGGAGUCCCCUACAGCAGAAUCACAUCAGAGUCCGGUCACGUGACUACUGACGAAAGCACUUCUCUUUCGAGCUACCAGUGCCUGGCAUGGUUCACUUGCUGCUGCUGUUUUUGGCCGCUCGGAUGUUUGGCAAUAAUCCAUUCGAAUAAAGCGCGCAAAAUGUUUCAGCAAGGAGAUAUUGCCAGUGGUAACGAGGCUGCUCGAACCUCUCGGGUUUUCAGCAUUGUGGGCAUUGCGAUGGGCAUAGUAAUAUAUAUUAUAGCAAUUAUUGUCUUGACUAUUACUUUUUACUAUAAUAUUAAAAACGAGAAC